AUAACAUGACUCAAAUAUCAUUCUAAUGUUAGUGUACGUUCGAAUGGGCCUGUUCGUUAUUUUAGGAUACAAAUGCAGUCAAGUCACAAAUUAACUGUUAAUUACUAAUGAUCAUGACCAUGAUCAGAUCAUUAUUUCUACAUGAUUAAACCGCAACUACAUUCAUAUAACCGUUAAGUAAUUAUUGGCGUAUAAGUUUGGAAAUAUAAAUACACUGGUUCUGUCACAGUGGAUAUCAUUCAAUUCUUUUACUUCAACGAAAACUCGUCGAAGGACAAACGCAAAGAUGAAACUCUUCGCUAUCUUUCUCUGCAUCGCCGUAGCUAUGGCCUCAGCCGAGGUACACUGGGACGAGAACGGACAGUACCGCCUGGUUGACACCGCGCCUUACACGCUGGCCUUCAAGCCCGUCCCCAUGGUGGCGCCGGUAGCGGUGCAGGAGUUCAAGCCCUUCCUCUACUCCUACAAGCAGAUCAGGAGUGGCGACGAUAAACUAUGAACUGAUUAUUUGAUGAAAAUAAAUCAUACUUGAAUUUGAAAA